CAUGCUACGGUGAAUACGUUCCCGGGUCUUGUACACACCGCCCGUCACACCACGAGAGUUUGUAACACCCGAAGCCGGUGGAGUAACCUUUUAGGAGCUAGCCGUCGAAGGUGGGACAAAUGAUUGGGGUGAAGUCGUAACAAGGUAGCCGUAUCGGAAGGUGCGGCUGGAUCACCUCCUUUCUAAGGA
rnacentral:rRNA from 14 species